AUUGAACGCUGGCGGCAGGCUUAACACAUGCAAGUCGAGCGGGGUGAUGGUGCUUGCACUAUCACUUAGCGGCGGACGGGUGAGUAAUGUUUAGGAAUCUGCCUAUUAGUGGGGGACAACAUCUCGAAAGGGAUGCUAAUACCGCAUACGUCCUACGGGAGAAAGCAGGGGAUCACUUGUGACCUUGCGCUAAUAGAUGAGCCUAAGUCGGAUUAGCUAGUUGGUGGGGUAAAGGCCUACCAAGGCGACGAUCUGUAGCGGGUCUGAGAGGAUGAUCCGCCACACUGGGACUGAGACACGGCCCAGACUCCUACGGGAGGCAGCAGUGGGGAAUAUUGGACAAUGGGGGGAACCCUGAUCCAGCCAUGCCGCGUGUGUGAAGAAGGCCUUAUGGUUGUAAAGCACUUUAAGCGAGGAGGAGGCUCUUUUGGUUAAUACCCAAGAUGAGUGGACGUUACUCGCAGAAUAGCACCGGCUAACUCUGUGCCAGCCGCCGCGGUAA
rnacentral:rRNA from 1 species